AUAGCAGAGUAGGAGAGUUAGGGUAGGGCAGGUACAGCCUGUGCUCAGCCCUCACAGGCCCUGCACAAGCCCACCAGGCCCCCGGCUCCCUUCUGGCAUUCACCAGGAGAGGUUCUGCCCAGCCCAGCAGCGAGUCCCUGUGGCCCAUCGAGGCCAGAAACGCAGCCAUUGCCAAUCACUGCUUCACCUGCGCCAUCAAUCGAGUGGGCACCCUCACCAGGACUUUGGCUACUUUUAUGGCUCGAGCUAUGUGGCAGCCCCUGACAGCAGCCGGACUCCUGGGCUGUCCCGUAGCCGGGAUGGACUGCUAGUUGCUAAGCUCGACCUAAACCUCUGCCAGCAGGUGAAUGAUGUCUGGAACUUCAAGAUGACGGGCAGGUAUGAGAUGUACGCACGGGAGCUCGCCGAAGCUGUCAAGUCCAACUACAGCCCCACCAUCGUGAAAGAGUAGCCGGCUUCAGUGCCUGCCUUGGGGUGAGGAAGACACCUCUGCCCCAGUGGAUUAGCAAGUGUGGCAGGCUUAACAUGUCCAGGUUCUCCCCAAUAACAUUGUCCAGGUUGGUUUUAAAAUUCCCAGGCAGGGGGAGAGUGGCAUGGGGAGUGACUUCUUAAUGGGUAAGGGGCUGCUUACUUCUGGGGUAUUGGAAAUGUUUGGGGACUAGGUAGAGGUGAAUGUACUAAAUGCCACUGAAUUUGUAUACUUCAGAAUGUUUGUUAUGUAAAUUUUACCUCAACUAAAAAAAAAAAUGCCCAGGUACUGCUUGUGCAGGUGGAUUUGAGGUUAGGCAGAUGAUGCUGUCCAUCCCGUACACCAGUGGGAAGAGGGUGAGGGCUGAUCCAGAGACCCUGAGCCUACAGCAAGGCUGUGGUGGGUCGGAUGGUCUUUGGAUGUGUCAGCUUAGCUAGGCCACAGUCACCAGUAAUUCAAUCAGACACUAAUCUAGGUAUUUCUGUGAAGGUAUUUUGUAGAUGUGACAGAAGUCCAUUCCCAAUUGACUAAGUAAGUGAGAUUAUCUCAGAUAAUCUGGGUCAGCCUGACCUGAUUAGUCAGAAGGCCUAAAGAACAGAGCUAAGGGUUUCCCUGAGGAAGAAAUUCUGCCUGAGGACAGCAGCCCAGUGCUUGGCGAGAGUUCCUGACAGUCUGCCCUUCUGAUAGCCUGCCUCACAGAGUUUAGACAUGACUAGCCAGCUCCUACAAUCACUGAAGUCAAUUCCUUGCAAUAAAUCUCAAUAUAUCCCCUACUGGUUCUGCUUCUCUAGUUGAAUCUGACUGAUACAGAUUUUGGUGCCAAAAGUGGUUCUAGAAAAAUAGAAUCUUAAAGAUGAGUUUUCUGCAUUGGUUCUGGAUUUUUUUAGAAUUCUUCCCUAGUUUGAUUGAACUUAAAGGCAUCAAUGACUCUAUUUCCAUAGAGUCAGGGUAAAGAGGGUAGUUGGUAGUCCAUGGCAUGGUGCAGCAAUAGUUAUUUAUGUGCGAGACUAGCCAUCAGCCAUCAGUUUGUGCCCAGAGUUCCAGCCUGCCCUUUCUGAUGGCUUGUCCUGUGGAUAUCAGACUUGCCUGACCAGAUUCCAUCAUCAUAGAAGGUAAUUUGUUGCACUAAAUCCUUUUAUAUCUCUAUCCAUCACCUACUAAUUCUGCUAGUUCUGCUAAUGUGGUUGAGCUCCAUUUUACACAUCAGAUUACUCACUUCUCUACACCUUGGUUUUUACAUCUGUAAAAUGGGACUGGGCCAGGUGUGGUGGGGUGGCUUAUGCCUGUGAUCCCAGCACUUUGGGAAGCCAAGGCAGGUGGAUCACUUGAGGUCAGGAGUUCAAGACCAGCCUGGCCAACACGGCGAAACCCCGUCUCUACUAAAAAUACAAAAAUUAGCUGGGCAUGGUGGCGCAUGCCUAUAAUCCCAGCUACUCAGCAGGCUGAGGUAUGAGAAUUGCUUGAAUCUGGGAGGCAAAGGCUGCAGUGAGCUGAGAUCACGCCACUGUGCUCCAGCCUGGACAACAGAGUGAGAGCCUAUCUCCAAAAAAAAAAAGGGGUGGGGACCAUAUUCCUGCUUUAUGUCAAGACACUGGUAAGAGACAGACUAGAUGGGCCAGGGAGCCCCUUGGCAGUUAUCAGUGCAGCGCCUAUUUAGCCCUGUCCCUGAACAACACGGCAAGAGCCCAACCUGCCAAGUCUCAAAUAGCAGUUAACCAGAGUAUCGGGUUGGAGGUGGGGUUGAGAUUCUGUAAUUCCCCGCUUAUUGUUCCCAAUCAGAGAAGGCAGCCAGAGAAGGCAGCUUCAUCCCUUCACUGGCCCAGCAGCUGAACUAUAUGGAAACCUCCAUGUCAGGGCUAGGGUACUCCUGGACAGCCACCAAGGAUGAGAAACCCUGAUGGAGCUGCCUGGCCACAGCUCUGCGGUAACUUCCUUGAACUCUCUGUGCUGCAGGUUUUCACUUUACCUAAUGGCCCUUCUUGCACCUUUAAAAAAAAAAAAAAAAAAUUCCAGUCCUACAGACACAGUGAGCUUUUUUGCCUGUUCCUUUAGCUUUCAAAAUUUAGUGUCAGCCAAGGCGGGCAGAUCACAAGGUCAAGAGAUGGAAACCAUCCUGGCCAACAUGGUGAAACCCCAUCUCUACUAAAAAUACAAAAAUUAGCUGGGUAUGGUGGCGCACGCCUGUAGUCCCAGGUACUCAGCAGGCUGAGGGAGGAGAAUCACUUGAACCCGGGAGGCGGAGGUUGCAGUGAGCCGAGAUCACACCACUGCACUCCAGCUUGGCGACAGAGUGAGACUCCGUCUCAAAAAACAAAACAAAACAAAACACCUUAGUGUUUUUGGUUUCUAGAGGGUGUAAUCAACCUAAUACAGAAGCCAGCUUAGGUGACAAAUUGGUACAUUUGUGAAACAGGCAUGAAUAAAUGGACCACAACUCUUUGAUUAUCUGCAACUCUCAUUGCCUGGAAACAGAACAGUCAGGCCCAUCUUAGAGUAUGCAGGCCCUGUACAGCCAAGGUCAUUUCAAGGUUUAACUCAUCCCUGGAACAUGCAGAUGCUCAGUAAACAUUUGAAUGAA
rnacentral:lncRNA from 1 species